rnacentral:rRNA from 1 species
UACAGAGGGUGCGAGCGUUAAUCGGAAUUACUGGGCGUAAAGCGUGCGUAGACGGUUAUGUAAGUUAGGUGUGAAAGCCCCGGGCUCAACCUGGGAAUUGCAUUUAAGACUGCAUAGCUAGGGUGCGGAAGAGGGAAGCGGAAUUUCCGGUGUAGCGGUGAAAUGCGUAGAGAUGUGGAGGAAUACCGAUGGCGAAGGCAGCCCCCUGGGAUAACACUGACGCUCAUGCACGAAAGCGUGGGGAGCAAACAGG